rnacentral:rRNA from 1 species
GUGUCAGCAGCCGCGGUAAUACAGAGGUCCCAAGCGUUGUUCGGAUUCACUGGGCGUAAAGGGUGCGUAGGUGGUGAGGUAAGUCGGAUGUGAAAGCUCGGAGCUCAACUCCGAAAUGGCAUUGGAAACUACCUUGCUCGAGGGUUGGAGGGGGGACUGGAAUACUUGGUGUAGCAGUGAAAUGCGUAGAUAUCAAGUGGAACACCAGUGGCGAAGGCGAGUCCCUGGACAACUCCUGACACUGAGGCACGAAAGCUAGGGGAGCAAACAGGAUUAGAUACCCCGGUAGUCC